rnacentral:lncRNA from 1 species
AGUUCUAAUUUUAACACAUCCAUAAAAUUGCAGUACAUCUUGCACGUAAAAGUUGAAAUGCUCCAUCCAUGACCAAGAGUUUAAACAAAUACAACAACAAUAACGCCUCAAACCCAAACAAGAUGAGCUCGACUAUAUGAAUUCUCACAGACAAAUGCGUUGGUGAAAAGGGAAAGCAAUAGCUUCCCAACGCUUAUUGUUUCUUGCCAAAAUGAGGCAAAGAGAUAGCCAGUUACAUCGCCAUCUUAUAGUGUUCUUUCAAGAUGCUUUAUGCAGUCAAAGCUCAGACAAGA